GUGCUGUUUUUACUUCAGCAGCACAUAUACUAAAAUUGGAACGAUACAGAGAAGAUUAGCAUGGCUCCUGCGCAAGGAUGACAUGCAAAUUCAUGAAGCAUUCCCUAUUUUU
rnacentral:snRNA from 1 species